rnacentral:rRNA from 1 species
GAUGAACGCUGGUGGCGUGCUUAACACAUGCAAGUCGAACGGUGAAGCAGGAGCUUGCUCUUGUGGAUCAGUGGCGAACGGGUGAGUAACACGUGAGCAACCUGCCCCUGACUCUGGGAUAAGCGCUGGAAACGGCGUCUAAUACUGGAUAUGUGAUGUGACCGCAUGGUCUGCAUCUGGAAAGAAUUUCGGUUGGGGAUGGGCUCGCGGCCUAUCAGCUUGUUGGUGAGGUAAUGGCUCACCAAGGCGUCGACGGGUAGCCGGCCUGAGAGGGUGACCGGCCACACUGGGACUGAGACACGGCCCAGACUGCUACGGGAGGCAGCAGUGGGGAAUAUUGCACAAUGGGCGGAAGCCUGAUGCAGCAACGCCGCGUGAGGGAUGACGGCCUUCGGGUUGUAAACCCCUUUUAGCAGGGAAGAAGCGAAAGUGACGGUACCUGCAGAAAAAGCACCGGCUAACUACGUGCCAGCCGUCGCCGUAA